UCCAGACUCCUACGGGAGGCAGCAGUCGGGAAUAUUGCGCAAUGGAGGAAACUCUGACGCAGUGACGCCGCGUAUAGGAAGAAGGUUUUCGGAUUGUAAACUAUUGUCCACAGGGAAGAUAAAAGACUGUACCUGUGAAGAAAGCUCCGGCUAACUACGUGCCAGCAGCCGCGGUAAUACGUAGGUGGCAAGCGUUGUCCGGAAUUACUGGGUGUAAAGGGAGCGCAGGCGGGAAGCCAAGUCAGCUGUGAAAACUACGGGCUUAACUUGUAGACUGCAGUUGAAACUGGUUUUCUUGAGUGAAGUAGAGGUUGGCGGAAUUCCGAGUGUAGCGGUGAAAUGCGUAGAUAUUCGGAGGAACACCGGUGGCGAAGGCGGCCAACUGGGCUUUAACUGACGCUGAGGCUCGAAAGUGUGGGGAGCAAACAGGAUUAGAUACCCCCGUA
rnacentral:rRNA from 1 species